rnacentral:rRNA from 1 species
UACGUAGGGUGCGAGCGUUAAUCGGAAUUACUGGGCGUAAAGCGUGCGCAGGCGGUCUGUUAAGUCCGAUGUGAAAUCCCCGGGCUUAACCUGGGAACUGCAUUGGUGACUGGCAGGCUUUGAGUGUGGCAGAGGGAGGUAGAAUUCCACGUGUAGCAGUGAAAUGCGUAGAGAUGUGGAGGAGUACCGAUGGCGAAGGCAGCCUCCUGGGCCAACACUGACGCUCAUGCACGAAAGCGUGGGGAGCAAACAGG